rnacentral:sRNA from 1 species
GUUAAUAAGGAGAAUAGACAAUAUGUGAUGUGAGUAUUGAACAGCACUAAAUCUUAAUGUUUAUUGAAAUUACUUUGUUUCAUUGUAGGUCAGACAUAUUUCCAACAUUUGGGUCAAAACCUUGUCCAACAAGACUUUCUUCUGCGAAGAACAAAAUUUCUCAUAUUGCUGAACAAAGCCCCAGUGCAGGGUCAUCAUCAAAUCCACAGCAAAUUUCCAGUUUUGACUUCACAACCGCAAAGACUUUAGCAGAAGACUCAGUAGUAGUAGUUGGAAAAGGCGUAUUUGGAAGUUUAAGUUCAGCACCAGCAACCUGCAGCCAAUCAGUGAUAUCUUCUGUGGAAAAUGGGGAUACAUUUUCAAUUAAACAAAGUAUUGAACCACCGUCAGGGAUUUAUGGAAGAUCAGUCCAGCAAAAUAUUUCAUCAUAUCUUGAUGCUGAGAAUGAAAAAGAUACUGAAGUUUCUAUUUCUAAAUCUACUUAUAACAAGAUGAGACAAAAGAGAAAAGAAGAGAAAGAACUGUUUCACAAUAAAAAUUGUGAAAAGAAGGAAAAAAAUACCUGGGAACGAAUGA